UACGGAGGGAGCUAGCGUUGUUCGGAAUUACUGGGCGUAAAGCGCACGUAGGCGGCGACUCAAGUCAGAGGUGAAAGCCCGGGGCUCAACCCCGGAACUGCCUUUGAAACUAGGUUGCUGGAAUCUUGGAGAGGCGAGUGGAAUUCCGAGUGUAGAGGUGAAAUUCGUAGAUAUUCGGAAGAACACCAGUGGCGAAGGCGACUCGCUGGACAAGUAUUGACGCUGAGGUGCGAAAGCGUGGGGAGCAAACAGG
rnacentral:rRNA from 1 species